rnacentral:rRNA from 1 species
AGGGAAUAGAUACCCCGGUAGUCCACGCCCUAAACGAUGUCGACUAGGUGUUCGGUGAGGAGACUCAUUGAGUACCGCAGCUAAACGCGUGAAGUCGACCGCCUGGGGAGUACGGUCGCAAGAUUAAAACUCAAAGGAAUUGACGGGGACCCGCACAAGCGGUGGAUGAUGUGGAUUAAUUCGAUGCAACGCGAAAACCUUACCUACCCUUGACAUGUACGGAACCCUGCUGAGAGGUGGGGGUGCUCGAAAGAGAGCCGUAACACAGGUGCUGCAUGGCUGUCGUCAGCUCGUGUCGUGAGAUGUUGGGUUAAGUCCCGCAACGAGCGCAACCCUUGUCAUUAGUUGCUACGCAAGAGCACUCUAAUGAGACUGCCGGUGACAAACCGGAGGAAGGUGGGGAUGACGUCAAGUCCUCAUGGCCCUUAUGGGUAGGGCUUCACACGUCAUACAAUGGUCGGUACAGAGGGUUGCCAAGCCGCGAGGUGGAGCCAAUCCCAGAAAGCCGAUCGUAGUCC